rnacentral:tRNA from 1 species
GCUCGGUUGGUGUAGUCCGGCCAAUCAUGUUGGCCUUUCGACGAACGCGGUACGUCGCCGUGCCGGUUCGGAAGACAGCCGACGACCAGGGUUCAAAUCCCUGACCGAGCA